UUGCAGCGUUUUGUAUGUUCACAGAUAUCACUACCACUAAUGUAUGCUUGCUGCUGAAUUUUGUAUGCUUGCUGAGUUUUGUAUGUUCACAGAUGUCACUACCACUAAUGUAUGCUAGCUGCUGAACUUUGUAUGCUUGCUGAGUUUUGUAUGUUCACAGAUAUCACUACCACUAAUGUAUGCUUGCUGCUGAAUUUUGUAUGCUUGCUGAGUUUUGUAUGUUCACAGAUAUCACUACCACUAAUAUAUGCUUGCUGCUGAAUUUUGUAUGCUUGCUGAGUUUUGUAUGUUCACAGAUACCACCUACCACUUAUAUAUGCUUGCUGCUGAAUUUUGUAUGCUUGCUGAAUUUUGUAUGUUCACAGAUAUCAAUCCCACCAAUGUAUGCUUCCUGCUGAAUUUUGUUAUGUGUAAUGCAUUCAGUCCAUCAUCUCUUUCGUUAUGUGAUGCAUCAGUCCAUCGUCUCUUUCAUUAUGUGAUGCAUCAGUCCAUCAUCUCUUUCAUCAGUUCAUUAUGUUAUGCAUUCAGUCCAUCACUUGGUUGGCUUCAAUUACAUGAAUUUUUUUAUUGAUUUUGGUAACUUGAACUCCAUUGAUAACCACUUAGGCAUCCAUCAACUCAAUAUUUCCUUCUUGUUGCAUGUUGAAAAGGAAGGUCCUGAAGGGCUAAAGAUUUUGGAUCAAUUGUUGAUGAUUGAAGAGUUUACUAAUCCAAUUCCUUGUGUAGAGCAUUUUUUGGGCCCCUGGUGGGUUUUUAUACAGGGCAUCCAUUUAUAGGUUUGGUUAUGUUUUGUAGAUUAUAAGUUUUGAUCAAGUUAUAGUCAUUGAGUUGCAAAUGAUUGCUUGAAUUGGAACUGAGCUCAAAAUCCUUGUAAUGGCAGUAACAUUCAUCGGCUUGGAAUGCAUAUUAUUGUG
rnacentral:lncRNA from 1 species